UACGGGGGGGGGUAAGCGUUGUUCGGAAUUACUGGGCGUAAAGGGCUCGUAGGCGGCCAACUAAGUCAGACGUGAAAUCCCCAGGCUUAACCUGGGAACUGCAUCCGAUACUGGAUGGCUUGAAUCCGGGAGAGGGAUGCAGAAUUCCAGGUGUAGCGGUGAAAUGCGUAGAUAUCUGGAGGAAUACCGGUGGCGAAGGCGGCAUCCUGGACCGGCAUUGACGCUGAUGAGCGAAAGCUAGGGGAGCAAACGGG
rnacentral:rRNA from 1 species